GAGGUAAACAAGAUGGCGGCGGCGUGUCGGGCGCGGAAGGGGGAGGCGGCCCGGGGCGCCCGCGAGUGAGGCGCGGGGCGGCGAAGGGAGCGCGGGUGGCGGCACUUGCUGCCGCGGCCUUGGAUGGGCUGGGCCCCCCUCGCCGCUCCGCCUCCUCCACACGCGCGGCGGCCGCGGCGAGGGGGACGCGCCGCCCGGGGCCCGGCACCUUCGGGAACCCCCCGGCCCGGAGCCUGCGGCCUGCGCCGCCUCGGCCGCCGGGAGCCCCGUGGAGCCCCCGCCGCCGCGCCGCCCCGCGGACCGGACGCUGAGGGCACUCGGGGCGGGGCGCGCGCUCGGGCAGACGUUUGCGGGGAGGGGGGCGCCUGCCGGGCCCCGGCGACCACCUUGGGGGUCGCGGGCCGGCUCGGGGGGCGCCCAGUGCGGGCCCUCGCGGGCGCCGGGCAGCGACCAGCCCUGAGCGGAGCUGUUGGCCGCGGCGGGAGGCCUCCCGGACGCCCCCAGCCCCCCGAACGCUCGCCCGGGCCGGCGGGAGUCGGCGCCCCCCGGGAGGUCCGCUCGGUCGUCCGCGGCGGAGCGUUUGCUCCUGGGACAGGCGGUGGGACCGGGGCGUCGCCGGAGACGCCCCCAGCGAAGUUGGGCUCUCCAGGUGUGGGGGUCCCGGGGGGUAGCGACGUCGCGGACCCGGCCUGUGGGAUGGGCGGCCCGGAGAAGACUGCGCUCGGCCGUGUUCAUACUUGUCCGUGGGCCUGAGGUCCCCGGAGGAUGACCUAGCACUGAAAAGCCCCGGCCGGCCUCCCCAGGGUCCCCGAGGACGAAGUUGACCCUGACCGGGCCGUCUCCCAGUUCUGAGGCCCGGGUCCCACUGGAACUCGCGUCUGAGCCGCCGUCCCGGACCCCCGGUGCCCGCCGGUCCGCAGACCCUGCACCGGGCUUGGACUCGCAGCCGGGACUGACGUGUAGAACAAUCGUUUCUGUUGGAAGAAGGGUUUUUCCCUUCCUUUUGGGGUUUUUGUUGCCUUUUUUUUUUCUUUUUUCUUUGUAAAAUUUUGGAGAAGGGAAGUCGGAACACAAGGAAGGACCGCUCACCCGCGGACUCAGGGCUGGCGGCGGGACUCCAGGACCCUGGGUCCAGCAUGGAGGUGGUGGACCCGCAGCAGCUGGGCAUGUUCACGGAGGGCGAGCUGAUGUCGGUGGGUAUGGACACGUUCAUCCACCGCAUCGACUCCACCGAGGUCAUCUACCAGCCGCGCCGCAAGCGGGCCAAGCUCAUCGGCAAGUACCUGAUGGGGGACCUGCUGGGGGAAGGCUCUUACGGCAAGGUGAAGGAGGUGCUGGACUCGGAGACGCUGUGCAGGAGGGCCGUCAAGAUCCUCAAGAAGAAGAAGUUGCGAAGGAUCCCCAACGGGGAGGCCAACGUGAAGAACUCCUGGCCACUCUGAAUCCACUUCCUGGCUCUGGAUUGGCUUGUCCUGGAUAUUGCAUAGAAAUGGGAUCCUGUCGGCCGGGCGCGGUGACUCACGAGAGCAAGAGAUCCAGACCAUCCUGGCCAACAUGGGAAAUUCAACUACUGAGGAGGUUACGGCACAAAAAUGUCAUCCAGCUGGUGGAUGUGUUAUACAACGAAGAGAAGCAGAAAAUGUAUAUGGUGAUGGAGUACUGCGUGUGUGGCAUGCAGGAAAUGCUGGACAGCGUGCCGGAGAAGCGUUUCCCAGUGUGCCAGGCCCACGGGUACUUCUGUCAGCUGAUUGACGGCCUGGAGUACCUGCAUAGCCAGGGCAUUGUGCACAAGGACAUCAAGCCGGGGAACCUGCUGCUCACCACCGGUGGCACCCUCAAAAUCUCCGACCUGGGCGUGGCCGAGGCACUGCACCCGUUCGCGGCGGACGACACCUGCCGGACCAGCCAGGGCUCCCCGGCUUUCCAGCCGCCCGAGAUUGCCAACGGCCUGGACACCUUCUCCGGCUUCAAGGUGGACAUCUGGUCGGCUGGGGUCACCCUCUACAACAUCACCACGGGUCUGUACCCCUUCGAAGGGGACAACAUCUACAAGUUGUUUGAGAACAUCGGGAAGGGGAGCUACGCCAUCCCGGGCGACUGUGGCCCCCCGCUCUCUGACCUGCUGAAAGGGAUGCUUGAGUACGAACCGGCCAAGAGGUUCUCCAUCCGGCAGAUCCGGCAGCACAGCUGGUUCCGGAAGAAACAUCCUCCGGCUGAAGCACCAGUGCCCAUCCCACCGAGCCCAGACACCAAGGACCGGUGGCGCAGCAUGACUGUGGUGCCGUACUUGGAGGACCUGCACGGCGCGGACGAGGACGAGGACCUCUUCGACAUCGAGGAUGACAUCAUCUACACUCAGGACUUCACGGUGCCCGGACAGGUCCCAGAAGAGGAGGCCAGUCACAAUGGACAGCGCCGGGGCCUCCCCAAGGCCGUGUGUAUGAACGGCACAGAGGCGGCGCAGCUGAGCACCAAAUCCAGGGCGGAGGGCCGGGCCCCCAACCCUGCCCGCAAGGCCUGCUCCGCCAGCAGCAAGAUCCGCCGGCUGUCGGCCUGCAAGCAGCAGUGAGGCUGGCCGCCUGCAGCCCGUGUCCAGGAGCCCCGCCAGGUGCCCGCGCCAGGCCCUCAGUCUUCCUGCCGGUUCCGCCCGCCCUCCCGGAGAGGUGGCCGCCAUGCUUCUGUGCCGACCACGCCCCAGGACCUCCGGAGCGCCCUGCAGGGCCGGGCAGGGGGACAGCAGGGACCGGGCGCAGCCCUCCCCCCUCGGCCGCCCGGCAGUGCACGCGGCUUGUUGACUUCGCAGCCCCGGGCGGAGCCUUCCCGGGCGGGCGUGGGAGGAGGGAGGCGGCCUCCAUGCACUUUAUGUGGAGACUACUGGCCCCGCCCGUGGCCUCGUGCUCCGCAGGGCGCCCAGCGCCGUCCGGCGGCCCCGCCGCAGACCAGCUGGCGGGUGUGGAGACCAGGCUCCUGACCCCGCCAUGCAUGCAGCGCCACCUGGAAGCCGCGCGGCCGCUUUGGUUUUUUGUUUGGUUGGUUCCAUUUUCUUUUUUUCUUUUUUUUUUUAAGAAAAAAUAAAAGGUGGAUUUGAGCUGUGGCUGUGAGGGGUGUUUGGGAGCUGCUGGGUGGCAGGGGGGCUGUGGGGUCGGGCUCACGUCGCGGCCGCCUUUGCGCUCUCGGGUCACCCUGCUUUGGCGGCCCGGCCGGAGGGCAGGACCCUCACCUCUCCCCCAAGGCCACUGCGCUCUUGGGACCCCAGAGAAAACCCGGAGCAAGCAGGAGUGUGCGGUCAAUAUUUAUAUCAUCCAGAAAAGAAAAACACGAGAAACGCCAUCGCGGGAUGGUGCAGACGCGGCGGGGACUCGGAGGGUGCCGUGCGGGCGAGGCCGCCCAAAUUUGGCAAUAAAUAAAGCUUGGGAAGCUUGGA